rnacentral:rRNA from 1 species
ACUGUGAGAGUUUGAUCCUGGCUCAGGACGAACGCUGGCGGCGUGCCUAAUACAUGCAAGUCGUGCGGACCUUUUAAAAGCUUGCUUUUAAAAGGUUAGCGGCGGACGGGUGAGUAACACGUGGGCAACCUGCCUGUAAGACUGGGAUAACGCCGGGAAACCGGGGCUAAUACCGGAUAGUUUUUUCCUCCGCAUGGAGGAAAAAGGAAAGGCGGCUUCGGCUGCCACUUACAGAUGGGCCCGCGGCGCAUUAGCUAGUUGGCGGGGUAACGGCCCACCAAGGCAACGAUGCGUAGCCGACCUGAGAGGGUGAUCGGCCACAUUGGAAGAA